ACAGAAUAAUCACUUCUGUCCUAAGAUUGUUGUUUUAGGAAUAUCUUACCAUGAAUACCGUUUAAAAUUGUCUCACUGUGAGGAACCCCAAAUCAAAUUCCUUCAUAUGCAGGCUGAAAGAGAACAUCUGCAAUGGUCGUAAAUAUGGCAGAGUCCCAAGUAUCUCAUGUGAUUUUCUUGGCAUCCACUCAAGUACUGAUAAAGCUACUAGUGCCAACCUCAUCCCUACCUGCCACCCUGAAUCUGCUGCUUUUCUGCUUUGCAACUUGACCUUGACAUUGCUGCUGGAAUGUGACAUUGCUAGCACUUCCCACAUUGCUAUCACUCCCUCUGUCAGUACCAGUGCUCCUCGUUAAGGUAAAGGAGGUCCUUCUUUCCACCUAUACCCCCCCCCAGUAUUAACAAAGAAUGCCAGGGGAAAGUUCAACCCAAUAUUUUGGGCUAACUCACA